rnacentral:lncRNA from 1 species
AGAAAAAAAUAUCGAUACAAUCAUAUCAGAAUAUAAAACAAUGUCGAUAGUCAUAGUAGUUGAACAAGGUAUGUGGAUACAGUCAAAUCAGCAUAGUCAUGUCAAUUUCGAUACAGAAAAAAUAUGUAGAUACAGCCAUGUGGUCAUAUAGGGCCGUAACUACAUUGAGGCAAAUGCCUCAUGUUAGAAAUUUCAAAGAAAAAAACUUAAACAAAAGAUUGUCUUAAUAUCAAAUUGUUCUCACGGAAAGUGUCUAGCAAGAAGCAAGUUCUCUUCACUCUCUGGUGUCGCCCCUGCAUGUUUUUCGUGAUCCAUGUUUCUAUUUUACUUUUAGUUUUCAGAGUUGAUGGUCUAUUGUUUGUACUUCUAUGUGACUGUCCCGGGUUUGUCUUUUGUUCGUUUAUUGUCCUACUUCAUGACUAUAGUCUGAGUGAUGAUUUUCAUUUGUAAACGUGCGGUUUUGCAAUGUUGUAUGCCCACCGGAUGUCCAGAUAUUGUGCUAAAAAAAUAUUUUAAGAAUAUACGAUGAUACAAGACACAGAAAAAAAAUGGUCGUUUCUGCAUGGAGAAUUGAACUUGAUAUCAAAGAAUACAAAACUGGCUUUUAUGGGGGUAGAUAAAACUAGAAAGCUGACAUGGUUAAAAUUAUUAAAGUAAGGUCACCAAUUUCCCGGAUUCAAAUAAUUUGAAAAAAAAUAAUAAUGUGUUGCCAUAUGACCUUCUCCAUUGAAGGGUUUAACUUGCAUUAAGUCAUGUUCAGACCCUCUAACAGAAAAUAAAGGAAUAUGGAGUAAAUGUGCACGAAACCUAAUAGCACAGAGUCAAUGCAAAGAAAAAAUUCUAAAAGACAAUGGUCAAAGUUGCUGGAGGAUCUUCAACAAUAAAGGAAUCAAUAAUACCGUAAAACAGGGUCAAGAUGGUCCCUAGUGUCGACUGACACAGUACUAGUACUUAAAGUACAAUCUGCCACUAUAUUUAAAUCUAGUCAUAAAAAAAUAACCAUAGUCUAAGCACAAUUACAAUUAAGACAAAAAC